GAUGAAGAACGCAGCGAAAUGCGAUACGUAAUGUGAAUUGCAGAAUUCAGUGAAUCAUCGAAUCUUUGAACGCACAUUGCGCCCGCCAGUAUUCUGGCGGGCAUGCCUGUUCGAGCGUCAUUACAACCCUCAGGCCCCCGGGCCUGGCGUUGGGGAUCGGCGAGGCGCCCCCCGCGGGCACGCGCCGUCCCCCAAAUACAGUGGCGGUCCCGCCGCAGCUUCCAUUGCGUAGUAGCUAACACCUCGCAACUGGAGAGCGGCGCGGCCAUGCCGUAAAACACCCAACUUCUGAAUGUUGACCUCGAAUCAGGUAGGAAUACCCGCUGAACUUAAGCAUAUCAAUAAGCGGAGGA
rnacentral:misc_RNA from 1 species